rnacentral:rRNA from 1 species
UGCCAGCAGCCGCGGUAAUACGGAGGGUGCAAGCGUUGUUCGGAAUUACUGGGCGUAAAGAGCGUGUAGGCGGUUUUCUAAGUCUGAUGUGAAAGCCCGGGGCUCACCCCCGGAAGUGCAUUGGAAACUGGAGAACUAGAGUACCGGAGAGGAAGGUGGAAUUCCUGGUGUAGCGGUGAAAUGCGUAGAUAUCAGGAAGAACACCGGUGGCGAAGGCGGCCUUCUGGACGGAUACUGACGCUGAGACGCGAAAGCGUGGGGAGCAAACAGGAUUAGAUA